CGCGUAGGCGGGCGGUCAAGUCAGGGGUGAAAGCCUCCAGCUCAACUGGAGAAGUGCCUCUGAUACUGAUCGUCUCGAGGGGGAUAGGGGCGUGCGGAACUUCCGGUGGAGCGGUGAAAUGCGUAGAUAUCGGAAGGAACACCGGUGGCGAAAGCGGCGCGCUGGAUCCCUUCUGACGCUGAGGCGCGAAAGCCAGGGAGCAAACG
rnacentral:rRNA from 1 species